rnacentral:rRNA from 1 species
UACGGAGGAUCCAAGCGUUAUCCGGAUUUAUUGGGUUUAAAGGGUGCGUAGGCGGCCUAUUAAGUCAGGGGUGAAAGACGGUAGCUUAACUAUCGCAGUGCCUUUGAUACUGAUGGGCUUGAAUGUACUAGAGGCAGGCGGAAUGUGACAAGUAGCGGUGAAAUGCAUAGAUAUGUCACAGAACACCAAUUGCGAAGGCAGCUUGCUAUGGUAUAAUUGACGCUGAGGCACGAAAGCGUGGGGAUCAAAAGGG